rnacentral:rRNA from 1 species
GCCAUCCCGGCUUACCAAACCGAUGCAAACUCCGAAUACCGAAGAAUGUUAUCACGGGAGACACACGGCGGGUGCUAACGUCCGUCGUGAAGAGGGAAACAACCCAGACCGCCAGCUAAGGUCCCAAAGUCAUGGUUAAGUGGGAAACGAUGUGGGAAGGCACAGACAGCCAGGAUGUUGGCUUAGAAGCAGCCAUCAUUUAAAGAAAGCGUAAUAGCUCACUGGUCGAGUCGGCCUGCGCGGAAGAUGUAACGGGGCUAAACCAUGCACCGAAGCUGCGGCAGCGACGCUUAGGCGUUGUUGGGUAGGGGAGCGUUCUGUAAGC